AUUUUUUUUUCCCUUUCUCUGUUCCUUGUGAAUUUCCCUGAUUGCAAUUUUCUGGCUACAUGUUCGAUAUUUUCCUCAUUUCCCCCCCACCAAUUAGAAAGAUCUCAGCAAGCCAAGGAUAGAUUGACAAAUUAAAACCUGCCUGAAGACUUAGUGGCUAUGGGGUAAGACCAUGUUGUGGGCGAAAUUGAAAAAAGAUUUUGUGAAACUAUAAAGUGGAAACCGGAAAGUAAGAAUUGGUGAAGAAGUGAGAUCUUUCAUCUUUUGAUAAGGUUUUGGCUCUGUUAAAUAUAUUUUUUAAUAAUUUAAUAAUUAAAGAAAAGGAAGGAAGAGUCGGUUUUACUCUCACGUCAAAA